rnacentral:siRNA from 1 species
GGGACUGGUUAGUCCGUGUGUCA